GUGCCAGCAGCCGCGGUAAUACGAAGGGUGCAAGCGUUACUCGGAAUUACUGGGCGUAAAGCGUGCGUAGGUGGUUUGUUAAGUCUGAUGUGAAAGCCCUGGGCUCAACCUGGGAAUGGCACUGGAUACUGGCAAGCUAGAGUGUGGCAGAGGGUAGUGGAAUUCCUGGUGUAGCAGUGAAAUGCGUAGAGAUCAGGAGGAACAUCCGUGGCGAAGGCGACUGCCUGGGCCAACACUGACACUGAGGCACGAAAGCGUGGGGAGCAAACAGGAUUAGAUACCCUGGUAGUCC
rnacentral:rRNA from 1 species